GGUCCUACGGGGCGCAGCAGUGGGGAAUAUUGGGCAAUGGACGCAAGUCUGACCCAGCAACGCCGCGUGAAGGAAGAAGGCUUUCGGGUUGUAAACUUCUUUUAAGGGGGAAGAGCAGAAGACGGUACCCCUUGAAUAAGCCACGGCUAACUACGUGCCAGCAGCCGCGGUAAUACGUAGGUGGCAAGCGUUGUCCGGAUUUACUGGGUGUAAAGGGCGUGCAGCCGGAGAGGCAAGUCAGAUGUGAAAUCCGCGGGCUUAACCCGCGACCUGCAUUUGAAACUAUAGGACUUGAGUGCCGGAGA
rnacentral:rRNA from 1 species